CCUACGGGUGGCAGCAGUGAGGAAUAUUGGUCAAUGGCCGGGAGGCUGAACCAGCCAAGUCGCGUGAGGGAAUACGGCCCUACGGGUUGUAAACCUCUGUUGUCAGGGAGCAAGGUGCAGGUCGGGACCUGCUGGGAGAGUACCCGACGAAAAAGCAUCGGCUAACUCCGUGCCAGCAGCCGCGGUAAUACUGAGGAGGCGAGCGUUAUCCGGAUUUAUUGGGUUAAAGGGGUGCGCAGGCGGGGCCACAAGUCAGCGGUAAAAUCGCGGGGCUCAACCCCGCUCCGCAGUUGAAACUGUGUCACUAGAGUAAGCGAAGGGUAAGCGGAAUGCGUGGUGUAGCAGUGAAAUGCAUAGAUAUCACGCAGAACACCGAUCGCGAAGGCAGGCUACCGGCGAGCAACUGACGCUCAUGCACGAAAGCGUGGGUAUCGAACAGGAUUAGAUACCCCAGUAGUC
rnacentral:rRNA from 1 species